rnacentral:rRNA from 1 species
AUUGAACGCUGGCGGCAGGCCUAACACAUGCAAGUCGAACGAGUGGCGGACGGGUGAGUAAUGUCUGGGAAACUGCCUGAUGGAGGGGGAUAACUACUGGAAACGGUAGCUAAUAACGCAUACCAUCGGAUGUGCCCAGAUGGGAUUAGCUAGUAGGUGGGGUAAAGGUUCACCUAGGCGACGAUCCCUAGCUUGUCUGAGAGGAUGACCAGCCACACGGGAACUGGGACACGGUCCAGACUCCGAGGGGAGGCAGCGUUGGGGAAUAUUGCACAAUGGGCGCAAGCCUGAUGCAUCCAGGCCGGGUGUAUGAAGAAGGCCUUCGGGUUGUAAGGUACUUUCAGCGGGGAGGCGUUACCCACAGAAGAAGCACCGGCUAACUCCGUGCCAGCAGCCGCGGUAAUUC